rnacentral:rRNA from 1 species
CGGCGAACGGGUGAGUAACGCGUGGAUACCUGCCCUGAGGUGGGGGAUAACCCGGAGAAAUUCGGGCUAAUACCGCAUAUGACUGUGAGGUCAAAGCGGGCUCGCAAGGGCUCGCGCCAUAGGAGGGGUCCGCGUCCGAUUAGCUAGUUGGUAGGGUAAUGGCCUACCAAGGCGACGAUCGGUAGCCGGCCUGAGAGGGUGAUCGGCCACACUGGAACUGAGACACGGUCCAG